rnacentral:tRNA from 1 species
GAGGGUAUAGCUCAGUGGUGGAGUGCAUGCUUAGCAUGCACAAGGUCCUGGGUUCAAUCCCCAGUACCUCCA